rfam:Bacillus pumilus SAFR-032, complete genome.
GCGAUGAGCUGAAUUGUGUAAGUCGGGUAACAUGUCUCUUUGAGACACACACGAAUGUGGCGUGUGGUUAUUCCGCCUCAAUACGCAAAAGACAUCUUCUUAGGAAGAUGUC